UACGUAGGGGGCUAGCGUUGUCCGGAAUCAUUGGGCGUAAAGCGCGUGUAGGCGGUCCGGUAAGUCCGCUGUGAAAGUCGAGGGCUCAACCCUCGAAUGCCGGUGGAUACUGUCGGGCUUGAGUACGGGAGAGGCGAGUGGAAUUCCUGGUGUAGCGGUGGAAUGCGCAGAUAUCAGGAGGAACACCCAUAGCGAAGGCAGCUUGCUGGGACGUUACUGACGCUAAGGCGCGAAAGCGUGGGGAGCGAACGAGG
rnacentral:rRNA from 1 species